rnacentral:misc_RNA from 1 species
UCGGGUUGCCGUUGAGACAUUUCGCAAUACACACAACAUACUCAUAUUGCCCGUGGUCGGAACGGUGCAACGGACGAGAGUAUACGAAAAACGGUGCAAAAUAAAAAAAUUUCUAAUAGUUCAGCCAGAAACUAAACUAAUCAACAGCAAACUGAUAAUUUCUUGCAUUAAUGCUAUAGAAAAGUGUAAUCCAUCAACGCGCCCAAGUGUGUGUGCCUGUGUUGGAUUAAUCGAUUAGCGAAAAAAGUGCGAUUCGGCAGAAUAUGGCGUGCUAUUGACGCUGCCGUACGAGGAGGUGUGUGGAGUAAUGUGCCAGCAGCAGGACUUGCUUCGGUGCAGCUGUACCAAGAGCUCGAGGCGCUAGCAAAACUGGCAAAUCUGUGGAACAGCACGAUUUGAGGUUCAGCCUUUGACCUCCAUUUCACAAUAUUGAAUUGCUGGUUGCACUACGCAGCUGUGUGUCCGUGUGUGUCGGUGCGUAGUUUCAUUGUGUCACAGGCGCCGCAAUCCUUCAAUGGCCUUUCAUGCACUUCGCCUAUACAUGUGUGUGUGUGUGUGGUUUUGUAGCAAAGACUAACUUUAUUAGCCACAAAAAUUUAGUGCUCAAUUAAAAUUUAUGACAGACAAGCAGAAAAUACGGCACGAAGCCUAAAAUAGUCAUCAGCUACGCCAACUAACUGCCCGAAGGAGGAAAAAUCAAUAGUUGCAGCAAUUUUCACGAACAACAAAACGCCAAUAUGAACGCUUUGAAAAGUAAACGCGAGUAAAAUAAAGUGAAAGUGUGUGUCAAGAGUAUAAAAAAGUGUAGAAAGUACAAGCAAUUAUAUAAUUUCGAAGAAAAUUUGUGGUGUAGGCGCGGUUUUGACAGUUCCACCAAUUUCUACAAUAAGCGCACGCGUGUGUUUGUGUGUGUAUAUGUGUCUGGGUCAACCAUAUGCUACAAUCGAUUUUGAUGGCAGCAGCAAUAACACAAAUUCAUUGAGGCGCUCGUUUCACUACAACAACUAACAAACAACAAAAACAAAAUAACACCAACAUAUAUGCAUACAUACACAGGCGGAAGUUUCACCACACCAACGACGACGACGACGCCUACGCGAACUGCCAGCGACGAGUAGUUUGCAGAAACUUCCAGUCUUGGCAACCUCAAAGUAAACUAAUAACAGUCACAAGCCACUAAGUAGAAAUAGAAACAUCAAACAACAAAACCAAUAAGCAAACUCUACAACCAAUUUAACUGCCAAGCGUUUAACAGCCGCACACCGCCGCCACAAUGGGUAAGAAAAAGGUGCCGAGUGAGGACCUCAUUGUACCGCCACAGGAUCAGCGCAUAUGCGGCACGAUUUGCGUGUGCCAAAUGACGCUCGUGCUCAGUUCGGUGGCGCUGGUCUAUCUAACGGUCGCCAUCUACAUGCCGUCGACGCGCGCCUUCAAGAGCGGCAUCGAUCCAACGCCCGUCAUGUGCACCACCACGCGCGCCGUCAACAAGGACAACUGCGAGUGGGGCUCGUGCGGCGAGUGGUGCCUGAGUAAGACGUCUGGCGCCUGCAUACAAAUCUACGUGAAUCUACGUACCAACGGCACCAAUCUCACCUUUCAGAAUUGCACGAAUUCGGCGAAUAAAACGUGCUACGGCAUCGAUCAGGACCGCGCCGAUAAGGCGCGCUGCAUAAAUGAUGAGUGCAAAAAUUUGACGGGUACAUUUAAUUGUACCGAAGGUCAGUGCUUGAAUAUAACCGAUGCGUUCGAGUGUGUUUUCAAGAAUAGCGAUUCGCCGGUCAAGUGUUCGGGUCGGCGGGGGAAAAUCAAUUGUAUGGACAUAAACGGUUUGUUUUCGUGUAAUCGCGGCACGUGUCGCAAAAUACGCACACCCUACAAUUGUGACCGUCGUUGCGUCGACAUACCGACACGCAAUAAGAAUGUGGUGGUGUUGAGCGGCGACAAAGUGUAUUUGUCGCAAUGUCAAAAUGCCAUCAAUGCAGAGACUAAAGAAGAAGUGUGGAAUGAAUCCGCGGAUAAUGUUGUGAUGGCAUCGUGUUAUUUCAUAAAAAACACAUCGGAUCGUGUGGAGGCAUUAGAUUGCAUAAACGGUUCGACGCUGGAACACAAUAUGCUCACGGAUCUCACCAAUUUCACGUAUCUAAGUCAUCUGCACAUAUCGGUGUCGGUGCCAACGCCGGAGAUAGCGCCACCCGAUUUCGAUUUGACCAUUUCGAAUGAGUCGAAGCUCAUGAUCAAUCUGGAGGGUUGCGUGAAUACGCUGAUGGAUGAGUGCAAGGAGUUCUUGAAGGAUUUCGGCCGUGAUGGCAGCGAUCACAAUGCACGUGCGCGCUUCCCUUGCUUCUACUCGCCGUCAAAGAAGGAAAUUGUCGUGGCUCGCUUCGACUUGGAGGUCACCUAUCGACAGUUUGUUAUCGCCUCGGUUGUGCCGUCCGUCUUGUUUGUGGUGUCGUGUCUGGUCUUGCUGCUGUGUCAGAAGACCGUCUAUGUGGGUGAUGAUGCGAAAAUGCGUUUCAAGGGUUGUGUGGACACGGACACGAUAUUGGCGAAAAAUAAUAUUGGCUCACAAACCAAUUUGGGCGAUACUGGUGGUGGUGGUGGCGACGACGUAAUGGCACUAUGAGAUCCGUCACCAUACUUUCAGCUACAUCAACGUGGAUUGAGACCUGAAAGUUCGAAUAUUUAUCCACAUUUUUGAACAUUUGUGCUGUUGUUAUUGUCUGUAAGCGUCGUUUAUGAUGUAGGCAUUCCUCUGCUCCAAGAAGACAGUCCCGUACAUCAGGCCGGCGUGUUUGCCAUGCAAUAAAGCAGCAGACAGUGCAGCAGUAACAAACAACAACAAUAACAACACAAGUUGUACAAAAGCACACUCACUUCACCAACUCAAAUCAAAAAGAAACCAAGAAAAUUUUACAUCAAAAAUUUAAAAACUAUUUUAAUCAGCCCAAAAAUUAUAAAGAACAAAAAACAAAAUUCAAUUCAAUUUCACUCCCCGCAAAAUGCGCUUGCCAGCAACGAACAAAAAAUAUUAUAAAUUAGUCAAAUAAACAUUAUGUACCACAAACCAACCACAGAGAGCAAAUAAUUUAUGCAAAUCACAAUCAAUU